rnacentral:lncRNA from 1 species
UUGCAUUCCGUAUCUGUUGACCUAGUUGGUCUGUUGUUGCAUUCAGUAUCUGUUGACUUAGUUGGUCAGUUGUUGCAUUCCGUAUCUGUUGAUCUAGUUUGUUGGUUGUUGCAUUCCGUAUCUGUUAACCUGGUUGGUCGGUUCUCGUACUUCGUAUCAGGGACCUUGUUGGUCAGUUGCACUCUGUGGACCUUGGGUCCAGGCAACACAUCGACUCUCUUGUCAUGUAUUUCGAUCUGGUUGAUCGUGGUUUGGCGUUGUACGCCCUUGUUUCUGGCUUCGGCCUAGGCACCGGCUUUAGCCGAAUUUCGUUUGAGCAUAUCAGCAUGAUUUAGUCACAGCACUGUGUAUUCUAGACACCAGGUUGGUUUGGCCACCAACAAGAGGUGUACGUAUCCGGAUAGGUCGUCGGUGACGCAUGAAUAAGCUCUCAGUGUCUGCUCUGUGACAGGCAACGCUUGAGGUCUACGGACCAAUAUAGCAGCAUCAGAUUGGGUAUAUUUGGACUUAUCGUCUGGUCGACGCAUAUAACUAUAGUAGCAGUUGUCGCUUGUAUAUCUUCAGUUCUUUCGUUAGAUUGUCUUGCUACUAUAGUCUUGUUACAUGUAUACAUUCAGUUGUUCAUUACAGUAGUGGUAGUUGUACUUUCUUUCAUAUACAUGUCUCUUUCAUUCAUUAUUAUUGCUACUGUAUUUUCUAUUGACCCGUGCUGUUGUUUAG